UACGGAGGAUGCGAGCGUUAUCCGGAUUUAUUGGGUUUAAAGGGUGCGUAGGCGGACGCUUAAGUCAGCGGUAAAAUUGCGGGGCUCAACCUCGUCGAGCCGUUGAAACUGGGUGCCUUGAGUGGGCGAGAAGUACCCGGAAUGCGUGGUGUAGCGGUGAAAUGCAUAGAUAUCACGCAGAACUCCGAUUGCGAAGGCAGCGUACCGGCGCCCUACUGACGCUGAAGCACGAAGGCGUGGGUAUCGAACAGG
rnacentral:rRNA from 1 species